rnacentral:lncRNA from 1 species
AAAAAAAGUUAUUGAAAAAUCCAUAAUAGAAGAAGAGAGAAAUGAGAAAGGUUGAAAGAAGGUUGGUGAUGAUAUGUGUGUUUGUAUGAGUAAGUACUAGAAAUGGCAAUUGCCAUGGAAGCCAAAGCCAAAACCAUGUCGUAGCUGAAAAAACAUGAAAAUCUUUCACUCACGCAGCUCAACCUUAACCUAAACCUAAACCUAAACUAAACCUUAACCUUAACCUUAACCUAAACCUUAACCUAACGUAGUCCACACAACAUAAGAAGAACCAAUUUACGCAGGAG